rnacentral:rRNA from 1 species
UGCGCAGGCGGACUUUUAAGUCAGUGGUGAAAUCCCGGGGCUCAACCCCGGAACUGCCAUUGAUACUGAUAGUCUUGAAUUUGGUUGAAGUGGGCGGAAUGUAGCAUGUAGCGGUGAAAUGCUUAGAUAUGCUACAGAACACCGAUCGCGAAGGCAGCUCACUAAGCCAAUAUUGACGCUCAGGCACGAAAGCGUGGGGAGCAAACAGGAUUAGAUACCCUGGUAGUCC